rnacentral:rRNA from 1 species
AGGAGUUUGGAUCAUGGGCUCAGGGUGAACGCUGGCGGCGUGGAUUAGGCAUGCAAGUCGAAUGCAUUUAGUUGCAUGGCAGACGAGGUAGUAACACGUAGGUUACGUACCCUAAAGUCAGGGAUAAUCCGGAGAAAUCCGGGAUAAUACCUGAUAGUCCGAGCACCACUUUUUGAAUUUUUUUCUUUAGAAAAGAAUUCAAAAAGUGGUGCUCGGUAAAGAUUUAUCGCUUUAGGAAUGGCCUGCGGGGUAUCAGCUUGUUGGUAGUGUAAAGGACUACCAAGGCUAUGACGCCUAGGGGAGGUGAGAGCCUGACCCCCACCGAUGGAACUGAGACACGGUCCAUACUCCUACGGGAGGCCGCAGUCGAGAAUCUUCCGCAAUGGACGAAAGUCUGACGGAGCGACGCCGCGUGAUCUGAUGACGCACCUCGGGUGUGUAAAAAUCUUUCUAUAUGGGAAGAAGUUUUAUUGACGGCACCAUAUGAAUCAAGGGGCUCCUAAACUCCUGCCAGCAAGGAGCGGG